AUGAAUGGCUUCGGCCGUAAACCCCUGUCAUUUGGGACAAACCUGCCAGUUAUAAAUUGGCAGCUGAUUGUACUAAAAGAGGAAGGGACGGCUAACUCUGUGCCAGCAGCCGCGGUAAUACAGAGGUCCCAAGCGUUGUUCGGAUUUACUGGGCGUAAAGGGUGCGUAGGUGGCCGAUAAAGUCUGAUGUGAAAUCUCCCAGCUCAACUGGGAAACUGCAUCGGAAACUGCUUGGCUUGAGGGUUGAAGGGGGGACUGGAAUACUUGGUGUAGCAGUGAAAUGCGUAGAUAUCAAGUGGAACACCAGUGGCGAAGGCGAGUCCCUGGACAACUCCUGACACUGAGGCACGAAAGCUAGGGGAGCAAACAGGAUUAGAUACCCUGGUAGUCCUAGCUGUAAACGGUGCACGUUUGCUGUGAGUGGAAUCGACCCCUCUCGUGGCGAAGCUAACGCGAUAAACGUGCCGCCUGGGAAGUACGGUCGCAAGAAUUA
rnacentral:rRNA from 1 species